rnacentral:misc_RNA from 1 species
AUGACGUCAUUGCCAGUCAAUCGCCAUCCAUUAUAAUAUUUUUCAUCGACUUGUGGAGGAAGCUAGACCCCAAAGAUCCUUUUCUGCAAUAAUUAUUUGAUUCAAGAUGUAAGUCAUAAGCGUAAUGAGGGUAUUUUGAUCAUGCAUUUGAUACAAAUGAAGAAUCCAGGGAAAGAUAAUGGCUACAGUUGCAUAUCGGUCCCUCAUUAAUGUAUAAAAAAAAUAUUGCAGAGAAGAGUUCUUCCAUCAUAUUUUGCAAUCUACUAUAAUAUUGUUCAAUUUUAGAAAUAUUGAAAUUCUUGUGUGUCGUCUAUGAAUUUCUAGAACCGUAGUAUGAACAAUACCACGGACUUGCGGUGGGGUGGGGGGAUAGUGACAUUUCCCAAUUUGAUUCUGCAUGCAGCUGUCAGUCUUGCACUGCAAUUUUUGGGACAACAUCCGGGUACUUCUUUAUUGAGGAAACUAUUGAUUUUUUUCGUAAUUUUUAGGGGAAUCAAAUUGACCUCUGAUCACUCAAAUCUUUGAAGAAAACUCAAAUGACCUGAAUCGCUUAAGAUGACAUAUAACACUUCUCAUCAAGUACCUGUUUUUGCCACCUGAGUUUGUGCUGAUUUGUGAUGUUUUGUUACAGGGCUAGAACUAUUGCUUGAUGAUAAUCGGUUCUAGGCCAGUCCACUUUUAGUUGCCUUAUCUGUUUGCUGUAAUGCCAUAUCUUUCCCUUAGUGAUUGUAGGUGUGAGUUAGUCUCUGCACCACCAUUCACGAUACAGAUCAUACUGCUAUAUUAUACUGACAUCCAAGUCAGAGACUUAAGGGGAUACCUGGAAAU